AAAAAGACAAACCCUGGAUUUCCGUGUCCAACGUUUGACCGUCCGUCUUAUUUGAUAAAAUUAUAAAAAAAAAUUAAAAAGAUAAGUCACGCAUAAAGUAUUAAUCAUAUUUUAUCAUCUAACAAUAAUGAAAAUACUAAUUAUAAAAAAAUUUCAUAUAAGACGGAUAGUCAAACGUUGGACAUGGAAACCCAGGGUUUGCCUUUUU
rnacentral:pre_miRNA from 1 species